AGCGAACGCUGGCGGCAGGCCUAACACAUGCAAGUCGAACGAACCUUUCGGGGUUAGUGGCGGACGGGUGAGUAACACGUGGAAACGUGCCUUUAGGUUCGGAAUAACUCAGGGAAACUUGUGCUAAUACCGAAUGUGCCCUUCGGGGGAAAGAUUAAUCGCCUUUAGAGCGGCCCGCGUCUGAUUAGCUAGUUGGUUGAGGUAAUGGCUCACCAAGGCGACGAUCAGUAGCUGGUCUGAGAGGAUGAUCAGCCACAUUGGGACUGAGACACGGCCCAAACUCCUACGGGAGGCAGCAGUGGGGAAUCUUGCGCAAUGGGCGAAAGCCUGACGCAGCCAUGCCGCGUGAAUGAUGAAGGUCUUAGGAUUGUAAAAUUCUUUCACCGGGGACGAUAAUGACGGUACCCGGAGAAGAAGCCCCGGCUAACUUCGUG
rnacentral:rRNA from 1 species